AUGAACGCUGGCGGCGUGCCUAAUACCUGCAAGUCGAGCGAACGGACGAGAAGCUUGCUUCUCUGAUGUUAGCGGCGGACGGGUGAGUAACACGUGGAUAACCUACCUAUAAGACUGGGAUAACUUCGGGAAACCGGAGCUAAUACCGGAUAAUAUUUUGAACCGCAUGGUUCAAAAGUGAAAGACGGUCUUGCUGUCACUUAUAGAUGGAUCCGCGCUGCAUUAGCUAGUUGGUAAGGUAACGGCUUACCAAGGCAACGAUGCAUAGCCGACCUGAGAGGGUGGUCGGCCACACUAGAACUGAGACACAGUCCAGACUCCUACGGGAGGCAGCAGUAGGGAAUCUUCCGCAAUAGGCGAAAGCCUGACGGAGCAACGCCGCGUGAGUGAUGAAAGUCUUCGGAUCGUAAAACUCUGUUAUUAGGGAAGAACAUAUGUGUAAGUAACUGUGCACAUCUUGACGGUACCUAAUCAGAAAGCCACGGCUAACUACGUG
rnacentral:rRNA from 1 species